GGUGGAUGCCUAGGCGUCUAGAGCCGAUGAAGGACGUGGCUAAGCUGCGAAAAGCUUCGGGGAGCCGCUAAGUUGGCUAUGAUCCGGAGAUCUCCGAGAUUGGGAAACCAAUCAGGGCUCAUCCCCUGAAAGCACAUUAGUGCGGGGAACGCAGGGAACUGAAACAUCUAAGUACCUGCAGGAAAGGAAAGAAACCUCGAUUCCCUAAGUAGCGGCGAGCGAACGGGGAACAGCCUAAACCGGUGUAGUGUCAAGCAUGCAGGCGUUGCUGCACCGGUGUCGUGGGACUUGCUGGGUGACUGCAUCAACCCAAGAGAGUUACAAAGUGAGGAGUUAGGAAAACGGCGUGGGAAAGCCGACCGUAGAAGGUGACAGUCCUGUAUCCGAAAACUCCGAACCUCUCGUAAGUAUCCCGAGUAGCGCCAGACACGUGAAACCUGGUGUGAAUCCGCGGGGACCACCCCGUAAGGCUAAAUACUCCUAGACGACCGAUAGCGUAAUAGUAGCGCGAGCGAAAGG
rnacentral:rRNA from 1 species